rnacentral:rRNA from 1 species
UACAGAGGGGGCAAGCGUUGUUCGGAAUUACUGGGCGUAAAGGGCGCGUAGGCGGCCUUCUAAGUCGAACGUGAAAUCCCCGGGCUCAACCCGGGAACUGCGUCCGAUACUGGAAGGCUUGAAUCCGGGAGAGGGAUGUGGAAUUCCAGGUGUAGCGGUGAAAUGCGUAGAGAUCUGGAGGAACACCGAUGGCGAAGGCAGCCUUCUGGGCCAACACUGACGCUCAUGCACGAAAGCGUGGGGAGCAAACAGG